rnacentral:lncRNA from 10 species
GGGAGGGUGCACUGAUGUCUGAGUGAUGUUUAACCAUGCCGGUCCAGGUACAGUGCCUGUCUCCGGAAUGAUGCAGGGAUCCCAAAGUGGAGAGAAUUAGACCUAUCGCAUUUGUGAUUAGAGUGGGCAAGUAAGUAUCAAUGAUCUCCUCUCUUCAAAUGUGGACAGAAUAAGAAAAGUGCUGUUUCUUCAGAAGCAGGGGUCAGCCAGCUACCACCAGGAGAAGGACAUUUCUCAGGCUAGCCCAUUGGUUCCAGGAGAUUAAUGAGAGACGAAUCGGAGUUGUCUCACAUAGCUACCCCAGCCAAGCCAAAUCUAACAAGAGACCUCAGCUGACCUGCAAUUGCGUGAACUCUAACAAGAAAUAGUUGUGUAAAGCCCCUGAUUUUGGGGACGGUUUGCUCUGCAGCGGUAACUAAAUGACUCAGUAGCGGAAAAGCAACAAAUGAUCAGGAGAAUUGGGGGCUUACCCAGUGAGCGAAGCUUUGGCAAAAAUGUAAAGCCGUGCAGCACGAUGCAAGAGGAGGCCAAGGACUCCCUGCAAAACCUCAACUUCAAGCCUAAAACAGCCUGAAGGUUGAAAAACUGGACUGCUGGCUCCAGAUGAAGUCCACCCUUUCCCAACUGAUUCUUUCUGAAUAAUGCCCACCUGCACACUCAGAGGAUGGGGUGGGGCCAUGCAAGCUCCCUGCCGGGAACCCAGCCUCUUGAGCUCCUAUGUGGUGGGGCAGGAGCCAGUUCACAGGCUUCCCUCUCACUCUGCUGAGAGUUUUUCUCUUUUCCUUUUUUUUGCCCAAUAAAUUCCAUUUUUCUCACCCUUCUGUGUGUCCAUGAGCCUAAUCUUUUCUGAUUGUGUGACAAGAACCUGUAUUUUC